ACUUCUGGAAUGGGUAAUGACUCAAACCUAUAUGGCCCCUGGAUUGGACUGCCGCCGAUCAGGCUGUUGGUGAGGUAAUGGCCCACCAAACCUGUAACCGGUACGGGCUCUGAGAGGAGGAGCCCGGAGAUGGGCACUGAGACAAGGGCCCAGGCCCUAUGGGGCGCAGCAGGCGCGAAACCUCUGCAAUAGGCGAAAGCCUGACUGGGUUACUCUGAGUGAUCUCCGUUAAGGAGAUCUUUUGGCACCUCUAAAAAUGGUGCAUAAUAAGGGGUGGGCAAGUCUGGUGUCAGCCGCCGCGGUAAUACCAUCACCCCGAGUGGUCGGGACGUUAAUUGGGCCUAAAGCAUCCGUAACCGGUUCUACAAGUCUUCCGUUAAAUCCAGCUGCUUAACAGAUGGGCUGCGGAAGAUACUAUGGAGCUAGGAGGCGGGAGAGGCAAGCGGUACUCGAUGGGAAGGGGUAAAAAUCCGUUGAUCCAUUGAAAA
rnacentral:rRNA from 1 species